rnacentral:tRNA from 1 species
GGUCCGAUAGCUCAACUGGAUAGAGCAGCUGACUUCUAAUCAGCAGGUUGAGGGUUCGAUUCCUUCUCGGAUCGCCA